GGCCCCCAAGCUGAGAACCGGGAGCCGGAGGAAAUCAUAGCGAAAUCUCAACCUGAUGUAGCCCCAUCAGCAUCACACACACACUCAGAGCAAAAUGGCCUGCUCUUCAAUGUAGCUUAGUUUAGUUCAAUUGUCCUGCCCACCCCCUCCUGACCCUCCUGCCGCUGAGGGGUGGUAUUUGAAAGAACAGGUUCUUUCCUCUCUUCUCCUUGGGACAGCAACAGCACAGAGAGUGGGCCGCCAUCUCUUACUGCCCACUCAACCGUUGCUGGGGACUGAUUCUUUCAGCUCUACAUAGAAUUCAAGAACUAUAUUUGGAUCUGCUUCAGAGCAGUAAUCCCCACAGCCUUAAAACAUGCAAAAUAAAAAUAAAUUAAUCAUCCAUCAGCAUGAGGAAGUAAAAAUCCUGCCCCCACCCCUUCUAUACAUGCCUGCAGGUGGCUUCACAAACUUGUUUUCCCUGCAGCUGCUUGCACAUGUAACAGCUUCCAGGAUAACCAAUGAGCUGGAACCAGUAAGAUGUGGCUGGGGAAGGGGGCUUCUCAUCUGUCAGCUGGGGAGCCUCAUGGGGCCUUACAUGGACUCAGCUUCUUACCAGUUCCAGAAGAGCACCCAAACGGCCCUGGGAUUUUCAACUCUGAAGCAUAAGGCAAGUUAAUGAAGCACCCAAUUCACACCAGCUUUUAUCUGUCAGAGAAACACCAGCAAGCAAGGUAGAGACAACAAGCCAAACCCUGAUGUGCAAGUAUGAACUUCAUGUUAAUUAGGAAUCGGAAGAAUGUGUGGGUUUCUCU
rnacentral:lncRNA from 1 species